UUGUUUGGAUUUGGAGAGUGCAGAAACAGAUUGAGAAAAACGGCGCCCGCAGUCGUUCCAACUUUGCUCUCUUGUCCCAUGAAUUCCAAUUCCUACUUCUUAAUUUUUCUCGUAUUUAUUGGUAUCUACUCAUUUCUCUGCUCGUUUUCUUUUCUUUCCGUUGAUCUUUUUUACAGGUAGAAGGAGAAACAGGGAAGAGGAAGAAUUGGUAUAAAAGGAAAAGCACACAAGACAAUGGGGAGAACUGGUUCUUCCUCCAAGAGAAAAUCGUCGAAGAAGAAGCGCGACAAGAUUUCCUCUCAGAAAAAGAAGAAUUGGAGAAAGGAAUCUAAGAAGCGUCGUCGCGUUAAUGAUUCAGUUUCUUCGCACUCUGAUGAUGAUUCAUUAAGUGCAAAACAUACUUCGUCCUCCACUUCAAAAUCUAAUCAUAGGAGAAGAAGAAAUAGAAACAAGAAACUUCGUCGUGACUACUCGGUGUCAUCUGAUUCUGAUGAUCUGUCUAUAAGGUCUGAUUCUGAUUCCUUGUCUACUUAUGACAGUGGUUUUAAGCACAGGAGGGCUAGACGAUCAAGAGUUGGUUUAAAGAGUAAAAGUAAACGGGCUCGAAGGAGAUCUGCUAGCCCCAACGUGGACGCAGAUGCACACACUGUCAGAAAAAGGAAAACAUUGGGUAGAGAUAGUGUUGUUAAGCCAAGAAAGAAAUCUUCCAAAAAGAAGUCCAAAAGACAUUUGAGCAGCUCUUCAAGCUCUGAUUCAGAGAGCUGCUCCACAUGCCAAAGUACUAGUAGCAGCAGUAGUGCUGAUCGUAAGCGUCGAAGGAAGAAAGGAAUUCUUAAUGAUGAAACAGAGAAGCUGAGAGGUGGGGAAUCUUACAAGCCUCGGAAAAAGCGGAAAUUAAGGUCUCCAAGUUGUUCUUCUUGCCGUAAGGAUAGUGAUCACAGUUUUAGUGUCAGUGAUCGUGAUGGGGUAUUGGCUCCUGUCACUCACAGCAAUGUGGCGUUAGCUCCUGUGAGUAAUUCUAGACGGCUGAGAUCAGUUAUUACCAUUGCUGAUCAACCCCGUGAUGAAGGGGAAGACAUAUGGGAGAAGGACCCCCAUAAAGAAGAGAUUGUGUACAACCAUGAUGAUUACCCAUCUCCCAGAAGUCUGAACAGUAAUGAAGGGGGAAGUAAGAUGGAUUCAGAUGGCCAGUCUUAUGUUGCAUCAAAUAAGAGAAUUUGUGUGGAAAAUGUCCUUGAUGAAAAUGCAACUGAACUGAGAAUAUCUGGAAUUGAUGAAGGUGAUAAAGACAAAGCUUGUAAUCUUCAGUCCGACAGAGCUCAUAUGAAGAAUUUCAAGGCGAAAGAGAUUGAUGAGUCUGCUCCUGUUGCUGCUUUAGGUGGGGGUGAUCUGGAGUCGAUCUUGAGGCAAAAAGCUCUGGAAAAUUUGAGGAAGUUCCGAGGGGGGAUCCACUCAGGUCCGAGGAGUUCUGGUCCUAGAAUAAAUAACGAGAGUGAUUUGAAUGGGUCAUCCAUUGGAAGGGUUGAUAAUGUUCCGAACAAAUCAACCAAGCAGGGUGACUCUAAUCUUCAAGAAAUUAACCAGACAAGUGGGCCCUUUUUGAAAAGAGAUUUUCCUCUCUCUGAGGUUAAGAAACUGCCAGAUGAGGAACACAUUGAGAACCCUGGAAUCACUGAACAGACUAUCGUACAUCCAGCUGACAAGAUAGCAAUUUUAGAAGGGCCAGAAGAGGAAAAAUGCACCACUUGGCCUGCUGUUUUGUCAAAAACCUUAUCAACAAGUGAGACUAAUCCAGGAGCGGGAACUAUUAAUGCCUGCAGUUUGUCUAACAAAGAACCAGCAUCUUCUGAGCGACCAAUAUCUGGAGAACACAGCUUAGAACAUAAAAAAGAUGAAACUAAGGACGGUUCUCAAUUCGAGCAGAAAACGAUGUCAGUGAUGAGGGGAGGUGAGAUGGUACAGGUGAGCUAUAAGGUUUACAUACCAAAAAAGACCCCUGCUCUGGCUAGGAGGCAACUCAGACGGAAUUGGGAAUAAUGUUCUACCACAGUUGGAACCUGCAACAAAGAGAGGAUGAGAAAUCUGUUCAACUCCAGAAUGAUCCUUGAACCAAAAUCAGUUUCUAUAUUUAUCUAUAUCAGUAAAGGUUGUUGGACAUGUGUUAGCAUACCUGCUCAGAUAUGAUUCCAGAAACACCAACUACAGCACCGGGCUUUGCAUACGAGACAAUUCGUUCUGCCAAAUCUAGCAGGGGAUAUAAUAAUAUGUUAGCAAUUACCACAUCGUAC